UACGUAGGGUGCAAGCGUUUGUCCGGAUUUAUUGGGCGUAAAGAGCUCGUAGGCGGUUUGUCGCGUCGACUGUGAAAGCCCGGGGCUCAACUCCGGGUCUGCAGUCGAUACGGGCAGACUAGAGUUCGGUAGGGGAGACUGGAAUUCCUGGUGUAGCGGUGAAAUGCGCAGAUAUCAGGAGGAACACCGGUGGCGAAGGCGGGUCUCUGGGCCGAUACUGACACUGAGGAGCGAAAGCGUGGGGAGCGAACAGG
rnacentral:rRNA from 1 species